GGGAUAGCCUUCCGAAAAGGGAGAUUAAUACAAGAUGGUAUUCAAAUUCCGCAUGUUAUUUGAAUUAAAGAUUUAUCGGUAACGGAUGGGGAUGCGUGACAUUAGAUAGUAGGCGGGGUAACGGCCCACCUAGUCUACGAUGUCUAGGGGUUCUGAGAGGAAGGUCCCCCCACACUGGAACUGAGACACGGUCCAGACUCCUACGGGAGGCAGCAGUGAGGAAUAUUGGUCAAUGGUCGGAAGACUGAACCAGCCAAGUAGCGUGAAGGAUGAAGGUUCUAUGGAUUGUAAACUUCUUUUAUACGGGAAUAAAACACCUUACGUGUAGGGUCUUGUAUGUACCGUAUGAAUAAGCAUCGGCUAACUCCGUG
rnacentral:rRNA from 1 species